UUCUGGAAAUUCUCGCCGGUUUCUGGAAAAUUUCCGGCCACAUUCAUACUGUUCAAGGUGAUUGACGGCCUUCCUUGGUGAGCGGUUGUGGCGUGGUUUGUGAAAUUGAAGACGCAGCGGGAUUAGAGCAGGAAAUCUUGCAGGUUAGGAGAUUCAGGACGGUGAUCGUACGGGUUAGAGUAAUAGUUAUAGUUUUACAGUGUUUGUAAUAGCGAGGUACAUUACAAGGAAGACCCUUAUUAACUAGUCGGAGAAGCUUAAGAGUUGAACAAAUAAAAGAACAUACUUUCUGGGUCUGGUUGGAAGCGGGGUAUUGAUUUCUGCUUCGCUUCGGCUCUGUGCAC